rnacentral:rRNA from 1 species
UACGAAGGGUGCAAGCGUUAUUCGGAGUUACUGGGCGUAAAGAGCGUGUAGGCGGUCUUUUAAGUCAAUUGUUAAAUCUCUCGGCUCAACCGGGAAAAGGCAAGUGAUACUGAUAGACUAGAGGGUAAGAGAGAGAAGCGGAAUUCUCGGAGUAGCGGUAAAAUGCGUAGAUCUCGAGAGGAACACCGGUGGCGAAGGCGGCUUCUUGGCUUAUUUCUGACGCUAAAGCGCGAAAGCGUGGGGAGCAAACAGG